ensembl:lncRNA
GAAGGGAGGAAGCAGUUACAUAGAGAAGAGCCAUGUUGAGACCUGGUCUGGCCGUCUCAGAGGAGCCGUAUGCUCUGGAAAAUUGAUGCACCUGACUCUGCCGCCAACCCUUCGCAAUCCAGAAGGGAGGGAUCAUAGAGACAGACACCUUGAUUGCAUUUUCCUUACAACCUCUGGUCUCCCGCCAGGGUCUCCAAUUGGCUGAAUCCUCCUGGUAGCUGGUGGGCAAGGGAGCCUACUGAUGCGGUCUACAGAGGGGGAACUAACAGCAGCAUGGUGCCAGAACCUAAGCAACAGGCCAAGGAGGCCCCACUGGCCUGCAAUGGGGUACAGCCG